UUUGAAACGAAGACAGAUCCAUAUCAACAAAGAGAGCCAAGAAAAUUGUUUGUUACGCGAUAUAUACUCACUUGGAGCUAAAAGAAAAGAAACAAAGGACAAGUUCAAUAUGCAGGUUUACAAUUUGGAAGUGAUGCAGGUUCUUUGGAAUGUCUACAACCUUUCAGGAGAAAAUUUUUUUUCGAAAGCAUGGCACAGCAAGAAAAAGAUAUAAGACACUACAAGACAUUCCAAGUGAUUUUGAAUAAGUCAAUUGAUUGACUUUUUCAAUGUAUUCUUAAAUAAAUCAAAUAGUUGAUGUAAAAUGGUGUUUUGAUCUCAUCUCUUAAGCCAAUUAUCAAUGAUUAUUGACUUAAGAUGUAACCCUAUCAGA